CCUACGGGAGGCAGCAGUGGGGAAUAUUGGACAAUGGGGGAAACCCUGAUGCAGCGACGCCGCGUGAGUGAAGAAGUAUUUCGGUAUGUAAAGCUCUAUCAGCAGGGAAGAAAAUGACGGUACUAGAUUAAGAAGCCCCGGCUACAUACGUGCCAGCAGCCGCGGCAAUAAGUCGGGGGCAAGCGUUAUCCGGAUUGAUUGGGUGUAAAGGGAGCGUAGACGGCGGAGCAGGGCUGGAGUGAAAGGCCGGGGCUUAACCCCGGCACUGCUUUGGAAACUGUGCAGCUAGAGUGCAGGAGAGGUAAGUGGAAUUCCUAGUGUAGCGGUGAAAUGCGUAGAUAUUAGGAGGAACACCAGUGGCGAAGGCGGCUUACUGGACUGUAACUGACGUUGAGGCUCGAAAGCGUGGGGAGCAAACAGGAUUAGAUACCCUUGUAGUC
rnacentral:rRNA from 1 species